ensembl:lncRNA
UUUUCUUUUUUCACAGCUUUCUUUUUCUGAUACUAAAUUAAUCAGACAGACUCAACCUAGAUUCAGUGGAUGCUGUGAAUGUACAUUUCUGUAUUUUCUCUGCUGCAGCUAUCAUCCUAAAUAACAUCAGCCCACCAGUGACAGAGGCUUUACAGUGCAAUGGAGAACUAUUUUGAAGGCUCCUGCCAGCCCCUUCAGAAGGAAAGGGGUGGGGAGAAAUGGCCAAGGAGAGCUCCUGGUGCUGCCCCUGCUGCACGGAGGAUGUGACACAACCACGAAGUCACUGAGAUGAUGGUCCGGAGCAGCUGCAUUUUGCUCUGCACAAGAAAAUCCACCUUCAUACCAUCUCUGAUAUCUGGGUGAGCUCAGGUACGUGCAGGCAGGGCAGCCACCUCCCCCGGUACUCAACUCCAGGUCUGAGCUCCUCUCCCCAUAAGAGGGCGAGGGAGGGGAUCCGUGCAAGGCACCGUGCUUGGAGCCCUCUCAGUUCAAAGGUGCCCAAGGAGAUGGAGCUGGCCUAGGGAUGGCUGGAGGCCACACAGACGGGAAGUCACCACAGGUGAAAUCCCUCCCAGCAGCUGGCUUAUGAAAUAAUGCGAGGGGAGGCCGUAAUGAGCUGAAAGCACCCUCAGCUGGAGAUAAAUAUAUGCAAAUGAGAUGCACAAACAAAGGAGCCUGGACAGAGAAAUAUCUGCAAUUCCAGCAAAAUGCUGCCUGCAGCUAGAAGAUGAACAGCUUUGAUAAAAUGCUCCCCACAUGUGUCCGUACGGAUGACUACAGAAAGCAAGCCCCGUCCCUUGCCAUUAGCUGAAACACGGAGAGAAAGGCAGAGCAAGGCAGCACAGCGAUGCCGCGCAGCCCCUACCCUCACGGCAACAUUACAUAGGUUGUUACACAUUUAUAAAGGGAGCACAAACACCGUAAAGUUUGGGCAGCCCUUUCCUUGGGGCACAAAGCGCAAUUUUUAGAAGAAAAAUAGGCUUACCUUUUAGGGGAAAAAAUAUAUAUAUACACGUAAAAAAUCCACCUCUUACUACGCUGUACGGCUUUGGUACUUAGAGAUGUUAGAGCAGACAAGUGUCGGAUUUCCCGAUGUCAAGCAGAUCUCCUAAUUUUUCAUAUCCUCCUCCUGUGGCGAUUUUGGGGCCAGAUUGGAGAGGAAGAGGUUCGGAGCGCUGCCCUGACCCCUGGGAGCCGGCUGCCGCACCCGGACACCCCGGCGCGGGGCUUCAGGAGUUAAUGGAAGUUGGUGGGGCCAGGAGCCGCGCUUUUUGCAGCCCAGGUUUGCAGCGGCAUAAUUAUGUUCAACCGCUGUUGUUUGAAAAGGGCAAGCGGCAUCUUAGGCACAGAACAAUGAAAUUACAGCUGAGAUUUAGGUUAGCAAAAGCCGUCUUCUGCAAGGCUUUUAUGAUUCAUUAUUUCCCAUUAAAUACAGUAUUAGAAGUGUACACCAGAUAGCUCAUGGUUGCUGCGCUCAGAGCACAUUAUCUAUAUUACACAGGUCUGGGGAGCAGAAUUAGAAAACUUUGGGGGAAUGAGCAAUAUGUGUUUGCUGAUAGAAGUACCAUAUGGCUCAUCUUCCUCAAUUGCUUUCAUUGCGACUCCGAUGCUGGAGAAAUUAAAGUUUUAUUUGAUGUGGCACAGCUUAAUGAACUGUCUUCUGUUAGGAAAAUUGAAUAUGUUUCCUGUUAUUUGAGCACAGAGCCCUCAUGGUUUUGGCUGAUGAGGGAUGCAUUAUGUAUUGUUUAUUUA